rnacentral:rRNA from 1 species
UACGGAGGGUGCAAGCGUUAAUCGGAAUUACUGGGCGUAAAGAGUACGUAGGCGGCUUUUCAAGUCGGGUGUGAAAUCCCUGAGCUUAACUCAGGAACUGCAUUCGAUACUGAAUCGCUAGAGUAUAUUAGAGGAUAGUGGAAUUUCAAGUGUAGCGGUGAAAUGCGUAGAUAUUUGAAGGAACACCAAUGGCGAAGGCAGCUAUCUGGAAUAAUACUGACGCUGAGGUACGAAAGCGUGGGGAGCAAAC